AGGGCACCACCAGGAGUGGAGCCUGCGGCUUAAUUUGACUCAACACGGGAAAACUCACCCGGCCCGGACACUGGAAGGAUUGACAGAUUGAGAGCUCUUUCUUGAUUCAGUAGGUGGUGGUGCAUGGCCGUUCUUAGUUGGUGGAGUGAUUUGUCUGGUUAAUUCCGAUAACGAACGAGACUCUAGCCUAUUAAAUAGAUCGUUGGCUUACAAACGCCGGCGAGACUUCUUAGAGGGACAGGCGGCGAUUCAGCCGCACGAAACAGAGCAAUAACAGGUCUGUGAUGCCCUUAGAUGUCCGGGGCCGCACGCGCGCUACACUGAAGUGAUUAGCGUGCAUUUUGAAACCUACUCUGUCAAGAGUGGGGAACCCAAUGAACCUUCUUCGUGAUUGGGAUAGGGGAUUGUAAUUAUUCCCCUUGAACGAGGAAUUCCCAGUAAGCGCGAAUCAUAAGUUUGCGCUGAUUACGUCCCUGCCCUUUGUACACACCGCCCGUCGCUACUACCGAUUGAAUGUUU
rnacentral:rRNA from 1 species